rnacentral:rRNA from 1 species
AACGAACGCUGGCGGCAUGCCUAACACAUGCAAGUCGAACGAGACCUUCGGGUCGAGUGGCGCACGGGUGCGUAACGCGUAGGAACCUGCCCUUAGGUUCGGAAUAGCUCCCCGAAAGGGGUGCUAAUACCGGCUAAUGUCUUCGGACCAAAGAUUUAUCGACUUUGGAUGGGCCGGCGUUGGAUUAGCUAGUUGGUAGGGUAAAAGCCUACCAAGGCGAGGAUACAUAGCUGGUCACAGAGGAUGAUCAGCGACACUGGGACUGGGACACGGCCCAGACUCCUACGGGAGGCAGCAGUGGGGAAUAUUGGAAUAUGGGCGAAAGCCUGAUCCAGCAAUGCCGCGUGAGUGAUGAAGGCCUGAGGGUUGUAAAGCUCUUUUACCCGGGAUGAUAAUGACGGUACCGGGAGAAUAAGCUCCGGCUAACUCCGUG